GUAUGGGAAGCGAGAAAAGUUUGCAUCUGGCUUCGGAUCAGAUCUUAGGGGUGUGAGUCCCUUUCCAUAUU
rnacentral:tRNA from 1 species